GACGAACGCUGGCGGCGUGCUUAACACAUGCAAGUCGAACGGAAAGGCCCUGCUUGUGUGUGGUGCUCGAGUGGCGAACGGGUGAGUAACACGUGAAUAACCUGCGCUUGACUUUGUGAUAUCUUCAGGAAACUGCGGCUAAUACCGGCUAGCAGCUCCUGCUGCAUGGUGGGCGUUGGAAAGUUUCGGCGGUUGGGGAUGGACUCGCGGCUUAUCAGCUUGUUGGUGGGGUAGUGGCUUACCAAGGCUUCGACGGGUAGCCGGCACGGGAGGGUGAACGGCCACAUUGCGACUGAGGUACGGCCCAGUCUGCUACGGGGGGCAGCAGGGGAGAAUAUUGUACAAUGGGCGGAAGCCUGAUGCAGAAACGCCCCGUGCGGGAAGAAGGCCUUCGGGUUGUGAACCGCUUUAGCCUGUUACCAAGCGUUAGUGACGGUAAUAAGUGAAGAAGCACCGGCUAACUACGUG
rnacentral:rRNA from 1 species